rnacentral:lncRNA from 7 species
AUGGGGAGAUUUCCGAAGAGAAAUUGUGUUUUUAUCAGGUUAAAUGGGGGAUUCUCGAAGAGAAAUGCAUGGUUUUUGAUUAAAUGGGGGAUUUCUGAAAAGAAAAUGCAUGACUUUCGGGUUAGAUCAGGGAUUCUUGAAGAGAAAAUGCAUCAUUGUAUCAGGUUAAAUGGGGGAUUCUCAAGAAAAUGCAUGACUUUCGGGUUAGAUCAGGGAUUCUUGAAGAGAAAAUGCAUCAUUUUGGGUGACAUGGGGGAUUUCCGAAGAGAAAUGGCGUUUUUUCGGGUUAAGUGGGGUUUUUGAAGAGAAAAUGCAUGAUCUUCUUUACAGUGAGAUUGAUGUAGAGGAAAUGCGUG